rnacentral:misc_RNA from 1 species
AAGUCGUAACAAGGUUUCCGUAGGUGAACCUGCGGAAGGAUCAUUAACAAAAUCAUAUACAAAUCCGAUGUAUACAAUUUCUAUGCAAAUAGAUUUUGUAUAUAUUAACCAUUUGUGAAGAGUCCAUAUAAAAAGUUUGUAUAUAUAUAUUAUACAUACGUAUACAAGCUUUUUAUAUGGAAAUUUUGGAUUUUAAUAUAUAUAUGUAUAUAUAUAUAAUAUAUAUAUCUAUAUGUAUGUAAAUCCAAAAAUCAUUAACCAGAGUUUUAUUAUCGAGUUUUAAUAUAUAAUUUUUAUAUAUAAACAACUUUUAACAAUGGAUCUCUUGGCUCUU